CCCUAGUAACUGCGAGUGAAGCGGGAAAAGCUCAAAUUUAAAAUCUGGUGGUCUUUGAUCAUCCGAGUUGUAAUCUAGAGAAGUGUUAUCCGCGCUGGACCGUGUACAAGUCUCCUGGAAUGGAGCGUCAUAGAGGGUGAGAAUCCCGUCUUUGACACGGACUGCCAGGGCUUUGUGAUGCGCUCUCAAAGAGUCGAGUUGUUUGGGAAUGCAGCUCAAAAUGGGUGGUAAAUUCCAUCUAAAGCUAAAUAUUGGCGAGAGACCGAUAGCGAACAAGUACCGUGAGGGAAAGAUGAAAAGAACUUUGGAAAGAGAGUUAAACAGUACGUGAAAUUGCUGAAAGGGAAACGCUUGAAGUCAGUCGCGUUGGCCGGGGAUCAACCUUGCUUUUGCUGGGCGUACUUUCCGGUUGACGGGUCAGCAUCAAUUUUGACCGUUGGAUAAAGUUCAGGGGAAUGUGGCAUCUUCGGAUGUGUUAUAGCCUUUGUUCGCAUACAACGGUUGGGAUUGAGGAACUCAGCACGCCGCAAGGCCGGGUAUUUAUACUACGUUCGUGCUUAGGAUGCUGGCAUAAUGGCUUUAAUCGACCCGUCUUGAAACACGGACCAAGGAGUCUAACANGCCUGCGAGUGUUUGGGUGGAAAACCCGAGCGCGUAAUGAAAGUGAAAGUUGAGAUCCCUGUCGUGGGGAGCAUCGACGCCCGGACCAGACCUUUUGUGACGGAUCCGCGGUAGAGCAUGUAUGUUGGGACCC
rnacentral:rRNA from 1 species